rnacentral:rRNA from 1 species
UGUAAGCGUAUACCAAAGUUGUUGCAGUUAAAACGCUCGUAGUCGGAAUUUGGCAGUUCCGGAAGUGUGCACGUCGUGUGCGCACUUUGCGGGGACUGCUUUUGUGGUCUUGCGUAGGAUGAGGCACUUUCAUUAGUGAACGUCCUCACGCAACCACUCUUUACUGUGAGAAAAUCAGAGUGCUCAAAGCAGGCAUUUGCCGUGAAUGUAUUAGCAUGGAAUAAUAGAAUAGGACUCGGUUCUAUUUUGUUGGUUUGUUGGGACUGAGUAAUGAUUAAGAGGGACAGUUGGGGGCAUUUGUAUUCCGGCGCUAGAGGUGAAAUUCUUAGAUUGCCGGAAGGCAAACUGCUGCGAAAGCGUCUGCCAAGGAUGUUUUCAUUGA